AACGAACGCUGGCGGCAUGCCUAACACAUGCAAGUCGAACGAGAUCUUCGGGUCUAGUGGCGCACGGGUGCGUAACGCGUGGGAAUCUGCCCUUUGGUUCGGAAUAACAGUUGGAAACGACUGCUGAUACCGGAUGAUGACGAAAGUCCAAAGAUUUAUCGCAAGAGGAUGAGCCCGCGUAGUAUUAGCUAGUUGGUGUGGUAAAGGCGCACCAAGGCUACGAUCCUUAGAUGGUCUGAGAGGAUGAUCAGCCACACUGGGACUGAGACACGGCCCAGACUCCAACGGGAGGCAGCAGUGGGGAAUAUUGGACAAUGGGCGAAAGCCUGAUCCAGCAAUGCCGCGUGAGUGAUGAAGGCCUUAGGGUUGUAAAGCUCUUUUACCCUGGAUGAUUAUUCCAGUACCGGGAGAAUAAGCUCCGGCUAACUCCGUGCCAGCAGCCGCCGUAA
rnacentral:rRNA from 1 species